UACAGAGGUCUCAAGCGUUGUUCGGAUUCAUUGGGCGUAAAGGGUGUGUAGGUGGCGCCGUAAGUCGGGUGUGAAAUUUCGGAGCUUAACUCCGAAACUGCAUUCGAUACUGCUGCGCUAGAGUACUGGAGAGGAGAUUGGAAUUUACGGUGUAGCAGUGAAAUGCGUAGAUAUCUGGAGGAACACCGGUGGCGAAGGCGGCAUCCUGGACCAAUUCUGACACUGAGGAGCGAAAGCCAGGGGAGCAAACGGG
rnacentral:rRNA from 1 species